rnacentral:rRNA from 1 species
GGGGAAUAUUGGACAAUGGGGGCAACCCUGAUCCAGCGAUGCCGCGUGAGUGAAGAAGGCCUUCGGGUCGUAAAGCUCUUUAGGUUGGGAAGAAGGUUAUUCGAGGAAAUGCGAGUAAUUUGACGGUACCGACAGAAUAAGCACCGGCAAACUCUGUGCCAGCAGCCGCGGUAAUACAGAGGGUGCAAGCGUUAAUCGGAGUUACUGGGCGUAAAGGGCGCGUAGGCGGUAUUAUGUGUGUGAUGUGAAAGCCCCGGGCUUAACCUGGGAAGUGCAUCGCAAACUGUAAAACUAGAGUAGAUGAGAGGGUGAUGGAAUUUCCGGUGUAGCGGUGAAAUGCGUAGAGAUCGGAAGGAACGUCAAUGGCGAAGGCAGUCACCUGGCAUCAUACUGACGCUGAGGCGCGAAAGCGUGGGGAGCGAAC